AGGGGGCAACGCUGGCGGCGUGCUAUACAUGCAAGUCGAGCGGACAGAUGGGAGCUUGCUCCCUGAUGUUAGCGGCGGACGGGUGAGUAACACGUGGGUAACCUGCCUGUAAGACUGGGAUAACUCCGGGAAACCGGGGCUAAUACCGGAUGGUUGUUUGAACCGCAUGGUUCAAACAUAAAAGGUGGCUUCGGCUACCACUUACAGAUGGACCCGCGGCGCAUUAGCUAGUUGGUGAGGUAACGGCUCACCAAGGCAACGAUGCGUAGCCGACCUGAGAGGGUGAUCGGCCACACUGGGACUGAGACACGGCCCAGACUCCUACGGGAGGCAGCAGUAGGGAAUCUUCCGCAAUGGACGAAAGUCUGACGGAGCAACGCCGCGUGAGUGAUGAAGGUUUUCGGAUCGUAAAGCUCUGUUGUUAGGGAAGAACAAGUACCGUUCGAAUAGGGCGGUACCUUGACGGUACCUAACCAGAAAGCCACGGCUAACUACGUGCCAGCAGCCGCGGUAAUACGUAGGUGGCAAGCGUUGUCCGGAAUUAUUGGGCGUAAAGGGCUCGCAGGCGGUUUCUUAAGUCUGAUGUGAAAGCCCCCGGCUCAACCGGGGAGGGUCAUUGGAGACUGGGGAACUUGAGUGC
rnacentral:rRNA from 1 species